GUGCACGUUUCAUUGACCUGCUUUCUUUUGCACACGUGAGCAGUUAUUUCUUAUGUGCUGUACAAAUGAUGGAAGGUCAAUUAGCAGUAUAACCACAGAGCAAUGCUGCCAGUCCCCUUCAGACAAAA
rnacentral:snoRNA from 1 species